rnacentral:tRNA from 1 species
UAAGAGCGUGCAUCCUAGUUAGGCGUCCACACUUAUCGGUUUGUUUGAUGUUACAGCCAAGGGUCUGUAGCUCAGGUGGUUAGAGCACCGUCUUGAUAAGGCGGGGGUCGUAGGUUCAAGUCCUACCAGACCCACCAAGUUACGGGCGGCGGAGAGCGAUCUUGCCGUGAACUGGGGGAUUAGCUCAGCUGGGAGAGCACCUGCUUUGCAAGCAGGGGGUCGUCGGUUCGAUCCCGUCAUCCUCCACCAACACCUUGUGGUAGCCAAACGCAAGCAUCGAGAGAUCGGUGUUUGCGUUUGGCAUUGCCAAGACGAGUAGUAACUCGGCUGUUCUUUAACAAUAUGGAAUGUAGUAAAGGUGUCGCGGCGCGUUGAUGAGGCGCGCAAUUUAAACGCGACACUGGGUUGUGAUUGUAUCAACCAGUAUUACGAGUGAUCGAAAGACCGCUUGGAAUACAGCACAACGCGAGAACUCAGCCUAUAGCGAGACAUACUCGUUAUAG